GCCGAAGCUAACGCAUUAAGCACUCGGCUUGGGGAGUACGGUAGCAAGACUGAAACUCAAAGGAAUUGACGGGGGCCUGCACAAGCAGUGGAGCAUGUGGUUUAAUUCGAAGCAACGCGAAGAACCUUACCAAGACUUGACAUCUCGCUGACCACUCUAGAGAUAGAGUUUCCCUUCGGGGUAGCGGUGACAGGUGGUGCAUGGUUGUCGUCAGCUCGUGUCGUGAGAUGUUGGGUUAAGUCCCGCAACGAGCGCAACCCCUAUGUUGUGUUGCCAUCAUUUAGUUGGGCACUUACAACAGACUGCCGGUGACAAACCGGAGGAAGGCGGGGAUGACGUCAAAUCAUCAUGCCCAUUAUGUCUUGGGCUACACACGUGCUACAAUGGGCGGUACAAAGAGACGCGAGACCGCGAGGUGGAGCCAAUCUCAUAAAGCCGUUCGUAGUUCGGAUUGCAGGCUGCAACUCGCCUGCAUGAAGCCGGAAUUGCUAGUAAUCGCGGAUCAGCAUGCCGCGGUGAAUUCGUUCCCGGGCCUUGUACACACCGCCCGUCACACCACGGGAGUUGGCAACACCCAAAGUCGGUGAGGUAACCCUCGGGAGCCAGCCGCCUAAGGUGGGGUCGAUGACUGGGGUGAAGUCGUAACAAGGUAGCCG
rnacentral:rRNA from 1 species